UCUUAUCCAGAGAGGUGGAGGGACUGGCCCUUUGAAGCCUCGGCAACAGACUUAGUAGAAGUACUGUGCCAAUUCCAGCAAGCAACUAGCUUGAUAGAUAAGA
rnacentral:ncRNA from 1 species